rnacentral:rRNA from 1 species
AGCGAACGCUGGCGGCAGGCUUAACACAUGCAAGUCGAGCGGGCAUCUUCGGAUGUCAGCGGCAGACGGGUGAGUAACACGUGGGAACGUACCCUUCGGUUCUGAACAACUCUGGGAAACUGGAUCUAAUACCGGAUACGCCCUUAUGGGGAAAGGUUUACUGCCGAAGGAUCGGCCCGCGUCUGAUUAGCUAGUUGGUGGGGUAACGGCCUACCAAGGCGACGAUCAGUAGCUGGUCUGAGAGGAUGAUCAGCCACACUGGGACUGAGACACGGCCCAGACUCCUACGGGAGGCAGCAGUGGGGAAUAUUGGACAAUGGGCGCAAGCCUGAUCCAGCCAUGCCGCGUGAGUGAUGAAGGCCUUAGGGUUGUAAAGCUCUUUUGUCCGGGACGAUAAUGACGGUACCGGAAGAAUAAGCCCCGGCUAACUUCGUG